rnacentral:rRNA from 1 species
GAUGAACGCUAGCUACAGGCUUAACACAUGCAGGUCGAGGGGAAACGAUGAGAGAGCUUGCUCUCUUAGGCGUCGACCGGCGCACGGGUGAGUAACGCGUAUCCAACCUACCCAUUACAGGGGGAUAACCUUGCGAAAGUAAGACUAAUACCCCAUGGCAUUUUAUGGUGGCAUCAUUAUAGGAUUAAAGAUUUAUUGGUAAUGGAUGGGGAUGCGUCUGAUUAGCUUGUUGGCGGGGUAACGGCCCACCAAGGCAACGAUCAGUAGGGGUUCUGAGAGGAAGGUCCCCCACAUUGGAACUGAGACACGGUCCAAACUCCUACGGGAGGCAGCAGUGAGGAAUAUUGAUCAAUGGGCGAGAGCUUGAACCAGCCAAGUAGCGUGCAGGAUGACGGCCCUAUGGGUUGUAAACUGCUUUUAUAGGGGAAUAAAGUGAGCUACGUGUAGUUUAUUGCAUGUACCCUAUGAAUAAGGACCGGCUAAUUCCGUG